rnacentral:rRNA from 1 species
AUUGAACGCUGGCGGCAUGCCUUACACAUGCAAGUCGAACGGCAGCACGGGAGCAAUCCUGGUGGCGAGUGGCGAACGGGUGAGUAAUAUAUCGGAACGUGCCUAGUAGUGGGGGACAACCAGUCGAAAGAUUGGCUAAUACCGCAUACGCACUCUGGUGGAAAGCGGGGGAUCGCAAGACCUCGCGCUAUUAGAGCGGCCGAUAUCAGAUUAGGUAGUUGGGGGGUAAGAGCCUACCAAGCCGACGAUCUGUAGCUGGUCUUAGAGGACGACCAGCCACACUGGGACUGAGACACGGCCCAGACUCCUACGGGAGGCAGCAGUGGGGAAUUUUGGACAAUGGACGAAAGCCUGAUCCAGCCAUGCCGCGUGUGGGAAGAAGGCC